UUUGCCCUACGGGGCGCAGCAGUGAGGGAUAUUGGUCAAUGGGGGAAACCCUGAACCAGCAACGCCGCGUGAGGGAAGACGGUUUUCGGAUUGUAAACCUCUGUCCUCUGUGAAGAUAAUGACGGUAGCAGAGGAGAAAGCUCCGGCUAACUACGUGCCAGCAGCAGCGGUAAUACGUAGGGAGCGAGCGUUGUCCGGAUUUACUGGGUGUAAAGGGUGCGUAGGCGGGUAAGCAAGUCAGAAGCGAAAUCCAUGGGCUUAA
rnacentral:rRNA from 1 species